AGAUGUGGGGGCGAUCCUGCUGUGACAUCUGUCACCCCACUGAUUGCCAGGACUGAUUCAUCUGAUCGGGCUCACUAGGCAGGUGUCCCCUUCCUCCCUCACAGCUCCAUGUGCGUCCCUUCAGAAGCUGUGCUCAGUCUAAGAGGACGACCACCCUGGAUAGACGAGGAUCAUUUCCUCUGUCAAGGGUCUAUGGGCAGCUGGGCUGUCCCGCUUGAACCUCCAAACAAGCUCUCAAAAUGUUUACUGGAGUGAAAGAGUUAAUAGCCUCAUCAGCUCAUUCUUUCUCAUUAGAAAGAGUUGGGGU
rnacentral:snRNA from 1 species